AUGUUUUUUAUUUGUUGUAAACAGCCGCAGCGGAAGGCCGCUGAAGACCAGAAUGUGGAGGACAGCUGGGAGUGCUGGGACGACGGCGCCGACGGAUCCGAGGGACAGGGAGACGCCACAGCAGCCGGAACAGCCGGGACAGAAAACUCGGGGGCGGGACUCGUGGACAUAGCCCUGGGCAACAGCGAUGUGUCCCGCCUGAACGAUCGCAUCGCGGAGCUGGAACAGCUCAACGCACAGUUGAACGCCUCGUUGGAGGAGCUGGACGCCCAGCACGAGCUGGCCAUGCGGGAUGUGCUGGGGCGCAAAGAGCAGCUGCAGCUGCAGGUGGGGGAGCUGAGGCAGCGGCAGGCGGACCGCAUGGUCGAGCACGAGAUGGCCAUUGCCCGGCAGCAGAAGCAGCUGGAGGAGCACAGCAGGGCGGAGAGUGCCCUGGCGGCGGCCAAUGAGGAGCUGCAGCAGAAGCUGGAGCAGCAGGCGCUGGAGCUGAAGCAGGGAGUGCUGGAGCUGGCCGGGAUGCAGGAGCUGCUGGAAAAGCGGGGCGCGGACAAUGGCGAGCUGAUCGAUCGCGUUCGCCUGGCCGAGGCGGAGCGGGAGAAACUGCUCAAGGAGCUGGAUGACCUCAAGCUGGCCAAGGAGAAAAAGACCUCUGAGUCGUCCUCUAACAGCUCCUCCACCUCCACCAAGCACAGUGAGGACGAGUUCAUUGUGGUGCGACAGGCGGAUGCCAUCUCCGGCUCCGGCUCCGGCUCUGGCUCCGAUCCAGACCCCGAUCCGGACCCCACGCAACCCCCGUCUAAGGAGAAGCUGCGCGACAAGCUCGUGGCCCUCGAGACGCGCAUCGCGGAGCUCAGCCUGGCCAACAGCCAGCUGCAGGACGCCCAGCUGGAGAAGGAGCUCUCCUCCAGCCUUCUGGGCGAUCAGCUGGCCGAGCUGGAGACCCGCCUGCGCAUCAGCGAGGGCGAGAAGGAGCAGCUGCAGCUGGAGCUGCAGUUCAAGCUGCAACAGCUCACCAUGCAAAACCAGGAGCUCAAGCUGAACGCCGAGGCGGAGCAGGAGACCCACACGCACGACUUGGAGCAGCAAAUGGACACCCUGCGCGCCGACAAUCGGCGACUGCGCCAGGAGCUGGACGCCAGCAUAGCCCAGGCCAAGUUCCGGCAGGCCAUUGCCGAGGAGAAGCAGGAGAUCACCGACCUGGACGACGCCGAGGCGGACGACGAGGACGAGCUGGAGAAGCUUCGGUCCCUCCUGCAGGCCCAGAUUGAGGACCGCCUCUCCACGGCAGCGCCGCAGCAGAGCCUGGAGCGGGCCUACCGCGUCCUGAGCGAGCGCUGGCAGCGCCUCGACGUCGCCGAGAAGCGGCUGCUGGAGCUGCAGGACCAGCAGCGGAUCAGCGAUCACGAGAAGAAGACCUUGGAGGCAGACAUCUCGCAGUACAUUCUUCAGUGCGACGAUCUGAUGAAGAACAACGAGGUUCUACUCAACGAACUGGACAAGUUCAAGCGCAACAAGCUGGAGACCAUCGAGGAGCACCACGAGGAAACCAUUGUUCAGCUGGAGGGCCAGCUGGAGGAGGCCAGGCGCCGCCUUGAGACGGCGCACGAAGCCCAGAAGCGGCUCCAAUUGAAGCUGGAUGCGGAGGCGUCCCAGGCGGAGAAAGAGAAGGAGCAGGAGGACGACCGAGGCCAGAAGGAACAGGAGCUGAAAGAGUGCCGGACCAGGCUCUCCCAGAAGGAGUCGCAGCUAGAAGAGAUGCAGCGGCAGGUGGAAGAGCUCCACGCUGCCCAGGAGUACCACAAGUCCCAUCUGGCGAAGCUCCACGACCAGAUCCAUGCCAAGGACGCGCAGCUGGAGGAGCAAUGCUUGCAUUUGGAGCAGCUCAAAGCGCAGAUCAAUGGCAAGGACGAGCAACUGGGAGGGAGAGACUAUGAGCAGAUCUUUGAGCUGGAGAGGCUCACAGAACAGAUCCAGGCCAAGGAAGAGCAGCUGGAGAAGCAGGCCACUGAUCUGGAGCAGCUCACAGAACAGGUCCAGGCCAAGGAAGAGCAGCUGAAGAAGCAGGCCACUGAUCUGGAGCAGCUCACAGAACAGGUCCAGGCCAAGGAAGAGCAGCUGGAGAAGCAGGCCACUGAUCUGGAGCAGCUCACAGAACAGGUCCAGGCCAAGGAAGAGCAGCUGGAGAAGCAGGCCACUGAUCUGGAGCAGCUCACAGAACAGGUCCAGGCCAGGGACGAGCAGCUGAGCACAUUUCAGCAGAGCGAGGAUAAGUUGAAGCAAAUGGUCCAGCAGACCUACGACAGCCUUAGCCAGGAGAAGAUAGAGCUGAUCCACGCGGUCCAGCAGAAGCACGCGGAGAACACCCAGUACUAUGAGGAGAUCCAGCGCCUGCAGCCUUUCGCGCAGCAGGUCGCCGAGCUGGUCCGCGAGCGCGAGACGCUGCAGGAGCAGGUGAGGAGAGUGCAGGAGCUCAAGGAGAAGUCGGAAAUGCGCAUCACGAGCCUGUUGGCGGAGCAGAGCAGCCAGGCCCAGGCGGCCCGGGAGGCCCAGGAGCAGCAGGCAAGCGUCCAACGCGAUCUGGAGCGGCUGCGUGCCCAUCUCCUCGAGGUGGAGGAGCUGCACACCCAGGAGACAGUGGACCUGCAGCGCGAGCUGGACGAGUCGCGCACCAAGCUGACGGUCCUCCAGCAGGAGGUCUCCAAGUCGAGCACCGCGUACACUUCAGCCAGCAUUCGGGCGAACCAACAGGCGGAGACGCUGCAGACCCAGCAUGCCCUGCUCCAGCAGCAGCGGGACGAGCUGCUGGCCAAACUGGGGCAGUGCGAGGACCGCGAGAUGAAGCAGCAGGCGGCACUGACCAAUCUGCAGUGCGCCCUGGAACAGUUCCAGAACGACAAGGAGCACGACAUUGAGAUGGCCACCCAGCGCAUCCGCCGCGAGAUGAAGGCCCACUUGGACAGGCAGGACCGACUGCAGGCGGAAAUGGAGGCCAUGCAGCAGCAGCUGGCGGAGGCCAAUCGGGGACUGCGGGCGGCGGCGCGCCUCUCCGACCAGCUGGAGGCGGGACAGCAGACGAUCGCCGUGCUCAGGGAUGAAGUGGAGAGCCUGAAGGAGGCGAACGACCAGCUGGAGAAGAUGCUCAACAGCAGCGAGAGCAGCCAGACGGACAAGAUCGACAAGAGCCUGAUCAAGAGCCUGGUGAUCGGCUAUGUGGUGAGCGGAAAUGCUGCUGACAAGCAGCAGGUGUUGCGCCUGAUUUCUUCUGUGCUGGAGUUCUCCACCCAGGAGUUUGACAAAGUGGGUCUAAAUAAACAGCAGACCAGCUGGCUGGGAGCCAUACUCGGCGGUGGACCAGUGUCGGGGGGCUCAGGCCCGGGCCGCGGCAAUGAGAAUUUGGUGCAGGCAUUCGUGCAGUUCCUCGAGCAGGAGUCGCAGCCACAGACGGCGGCUCAGCUGCGACCGACCCUCCUUGGCAUGACUGGUCAGGUGGACACGGCCCCCCCGCCCCCACAUCCCCAGCCACACCCACACUCACACCCACACCCACACCCAGCGCAGGCAGCAGCAGGGCAUGCUGCUUCAGCAGUGCCUGCGGGUCAGGACCACGGCUCAGCGCCGCCACUAUCUCUUCCAGCAUCGGGAAUGGGCGCGGGUGCCGUUGCCGGUGCCGGUGCAGGACAGUCAGGACAGCUAACAAUAAGCUCCAAUGAAUUUGCACCCUCACGCAACUCCAGUUCGAUAUUGAAGGAUAUUCUCAGCGACUCCUGAUUCUUGUAGAAAGCCAGACUCCAUGGCCUGCUCUCCGCCCUUGAUUUUGAAUAAUUUUAACAUAUUUUUUUCUAUAUAUUUAAAUUGUAUGCGUGAAAUCUGUAACCCAAGCAUAUACCCAUGUUUAUUUCGGCAUAUAUCUCCGUUCCCCCAACUGUGCAAUGUCUGUGUAUGUGUGGACCAUUAGCAAUUUGUAAAUAUGUAAUAUCCAAUUUGAAUAUGCCUUGGCGGCGGAAGGUAUGCCUGUGCUUGCCUCCCGCCUGCCAUGGACACGCCUUCACAGGGGCCUUGCUAAGAAGUAGCCUAGCCGCCAAUCAAUAAACGAAUCAAAAAAGAAAAAAUAAACUACAUAUAUUGGACAUUUUA
rnacentral:misc_RNA from 1 species